GGGGAUGUAGCUCAGAUGGUAGAGCGCUCGCUUAGCAUGCGAGAGGUGCGGGGAUCGAUACCCCGCAUCUCCA
rfam:Physcomitrella patens subsp. patens PHYPAscaffold_11 genomic scaffold, whole genome shotgun sequence.